GCAUCCUUCGGGGUGAGUGGCAGACGGGUGAGUAACGCGUGGGAAUCUACCCAUCCCUACGGGAUAGCUCCGGGAAACUGGAGAUAAUACCGUAUACGUCCUCCGGGAGAAAGAUUUAUCGGGGAUGGAUGAGCCCGCGUUGGAUUAGCUAGUUGGUGGGGUAAUGGCCUACCAAGGCGACGAUCCAUAGCUGGUCUAAGAGGAUGAUCAGCCACAUUGGGACUGAGACACGGCCCAAACUCCUACGGGAGGCAGCAGUGGGGAAUAUUGGACAAUGGGCGCAAGCCUGAUCCAGCCAUGCCGCGUGAGUGAUGAAGGCCCUAGGGUUGUAAAGCUCUUUCAGUGGGGACGAUAAUGACGGUACCCACAGAAGAAGCCCCGGCUAACUUCGUGCCAGCAGCCGCGGUAAUACGAAGGGGGCUAGCGUUGUUCGGAAUUACUGGGCGUAAAGCGCACGUAGGCGGACAUUUAAGUCAGGGGUGAAAUCCCGGGGCUCAACCCCGGAACUGCCUCUGAUACUGGGUGUCUUGAGUGUGGUAGAGGUGAGUGGAAUUGCGAGUGUAGAGGUGAAAUUCGUAGAUAUUCGCAGGAACACCAGUGGCGAAGGCGGCUCACUGGACCACAACUGACGCUGAGGUGCGAAAGCGUGAGGAGCAAACAGGAUUAGAUACCCUGGUAGUCCACGCCGUAAACGAUGGAAGCUAGCCGUCGGAGGAUUUAUCCUUCGGUGGCGCAGUUAACGCAUUACGCUUCCCGCCUGUCGAGUACGGUCGCAAGAUUAAAACUCUAAGGAAUUGACG
rnacentral:rRNA from 1 species